rnacentral:rRNA from 1 species
AUUGAACGCUGGCGGCGUGCUUAACACAUGCAAGUCGAUCGGUAACAGGUGUAGCAAUACAUGCUGACGAGAGGCGGACGGGUGAGGAAUAUUUGGGAAUCUGCCCAUCAGCGGGGGACAACCCGGGGAAACCCGGGCUAAUACCGCAUACGCUCUACGGAGGAAAGCCGGGGACCGCAAGGCCUGGCACUGAUGGAUGAGCCCAAAUCGGAUUAGCUAGUUGGCGGGGUAACGGCCCACCAAGGCGACGAUCCGUAGCUGGUCUGAGAGGACGAUCAGCCACACCGGAACUGAGACACGGUCCGGACUCCUACGGGAGGCAGCAGUGGGGAAUAUUGGACAAUGGGGGAAACCCUGAUCCAGCGACGCCGCGUGGGUGGAGAAGGCCUGCGGGUUGUAAAGCCCUUUCGGUAGGGACGAAAGCUCUUGCUCUAAUAAUGCAGGGGGUUGACUUAACCUACAUAAGAAGCACCGGCUAACUCUGUGCCAGCCGCCGCAGUAACAC